AGGGUUCGCUCAGCCCAAGCCCCCGAUUCCUCUCCGCUCCCUCCUGUGCAGCCGCCGCGACCACCCGCGUCCUCCCCCCGCAGCUGGCGCCCUCACCAUCUCCCCACCCAUCUCUCUCUCCUUCCCUCACCAUCUCCCCACCACCGACGAGCUCCUCCCCUCUUCCUCGCCCCAGAUCGACCAGCAGGGCCGGAUCCUACCGCCAUUCGUGCAUCUCGCCCUCGUCACCGGCCGCCGCUGCCGUGCCCCCCCCCCCCCCCCUCGCGCGGUGCUGAGGUGCGGAUGGAGGCUUUGGGCCAAGGCAGCGAGAUGCAGAGAAGCCCUAUGUAUAGGUGACAGGAGGCGAUGGGUGGCGGGUCGAGCCACGAUGUUGGGACGGCUAUGUGAAGAAGAGAGAGAGGUUGUCUCUCCAACAAUUUGUGUGAUGGGGGGGGGGAGGGGCAGAUGAAAGGGGACAACUAUGAAGUGAUGGUGGAUCUGCUAUAGAGUUGUGCACUGGAUCGAGGCAGUCAUCCAUAAAUCAUUGGUAAAGGAGAGAGGGUUGGGGGCGCUUGAGGCGACGGCGGAGGAGCCACUCUUGCCGGCUGCAGCGACUACUCCAAGUGGGGGUGGAGCGAAGCAGCGGGUUCACGCCAGGCCGGGCCCAGGACAAUGACUUUAGGGGUGCCGUGCCCUGCAUAUUUCGUCGGGAUUUGUUCCUGAUGUGAGAAUGUAUAUGUUGAAAAUGGAGGAAAUGAGAUCUUAGGUAGUCAGGCGUGUGCUUGCAGUUGCAGUAACACAGAGAUGGUGACAAAUAGUUUGAGUCUAAAGAUCAUUUGUGUCCCUCUUGUCUAUUGCUUGUGGAACUGUAGAAACAACGAUUAAUGUGAUGUAUGUGAGGGGCCAUUAAAGUGACUUACCUGGUGAGAAGAUGUGUUUGGCAUUGAUUAAGAAUCGUCUGAUUGUACUGUCUUCCUUUAGGAGAAGAUGUGUUCAUUGCUGAAACUAGAUACAUGGGUGCUUCCUUCUUCCAAGAUAUUGACGAAGCCUGGCUAAUCAAUGUCACUCCAGUUGAUGAUGUUAUGAAGCUUCCUUCAGUAACUGAAUGAGAGAGAUGGAGGCACUGGAGAAGAAAGGGCACAGAUCCUUGGCCAAACCAGUGAAGCCCCCCUACAAUACCCCAUCUAGGCACAAGCGUUCCAAAAGCGAUUUAGAGGAGAAAAAUGCAAGGAUGCAUAGCCUUCUUCGCAGAAAGUGUCUAAUCACCCAAAGCCAAAUGGUAGGAACUCAAACUCUCGUCUGCAGAAUGAAACCAACAAGGGAAUCCAUCCCAAGAGUGACACGCAAGACAUCCUGAGAAAAGAGACAGGAAGCAAUUCUUUUUUUUCUGUUCUUACUAGCUCACAUGCAGAAGAAAUCAGAGACUGCAUCUUGAAAGAAUUGUUACAACAUUUUCAUUUCUGGAUGCACCCAGUAUUUUGGUCUAAUGGGAUGACGAUGAUCUGAUGUAGAUUGUGCAGCUGGAGAGGCACCUUGACCAUCAGCAAACGGUGCACGGCGCACUGGAGAAAGCGUUGGGUCCUAACUCUGCUCAGUUACUCUAUUCAAUGAGAGCGCAAUCCUCAAGCCAACUAACCAACUGAUAAGGGAGGUUGCCACACUGGAGCUGGAGAUCAAUCACCUGGAGUAGUACCUCAUAACAUUGUACAUGAAAGCAUUUGAGGAAGCACCUACAUUGAGUUCACGGUCUGCGGUGCUCGAGGAAACACCAAAAGUAAAGGCGACUGUCGAAAGAGGUAGUGAUGCAAUGCUCCAUUGCAGCUGCCUCCCCUUAGCAAGAGGAGGAAUGGCACAUGGAGGAUUCCUCUCCGUCCAAAUGCCCAACGAAGGGUCGAUGGUCAUGAAUCAAAGUUAACUUCCUCUCUACUUAUCAUUUAACUGCGACAAAGAAUUUGAGCCAGCACCAAUACAACUGUCUGAUGCUUUGCAAAGUAGGCAUUAAGAAUAUGAAAGAGAACUUGCAAUUCCAUUUGUCAAUGUGCAGUGCCAAAGAACACAUUUACAUUUUGCAGGUAUGUUUGUUUCAUACUUACAAAAUAAGUGACAUGGUGCCCAGAUAUUUAACUCAUAAUUUGUCAUUACUUUCCACUUCGUUUAUACAUAUGUUGGUUCGAGCAAUGCAUUAGAAUUAAUCACAAAUUAAUUUUCUUAAGAUUUCAUUUUCCAUUGCUUGUUUGGUAUUAAGAUGAUGACUGACAUAGGCAGAUAACAAGUUAACAACGACAUCAAGUUGUCGGUAGCUGCGACAUCAACGGAUGGAGGGUACACCUGCUGUAGCGGACUUCGUCGUCUCAUCGACAAGCUCACUUGUGACAGUACACCAGCUGCAGCUCUGGCGAGACGCUGGAGCUCAUGGCGGCGUUCAUGGCGAUGUGCCUCGUCUGUACCUGAACUACAUGUAUGUGCGAUGCAGGGAGGGACGGUGUGCAUCGGAUGGGACCCGGCACGGCACGCGGCCGAUGAGGAAGAGGACCAGCGGACGGGGCUUGACAAGGUGUCGCUGGCUGCCAUGCUGGUGUCCAGAUUCAGGGCAGAGUGCGUGGAGGCACCAAGAAGGUUGGGGAGGAUUGCGUGAUAUACCUGUGCACCAUGCAGGAUGGAUCCGGCAUGGCGGCCGGGCCGACAAGGAAGAGGACCAGUGAAGGGGUGCUCGACAAGGCGGCGCUGGCACCAAUGCCGGUGCUCAUAUUCAAGGCAGGGGCAAGGCGGAGGCCCGCGAUGGUGCAAAGGUUGGUAGCUGCUACAUACAUGUUGCUUUAUGAUCUUGCCUUCUUGGAAGUGUGGGUGUUGCUUCAAUUGGAACCAAUAUUUUUUUGCCAUGACUUCUAGAUUGUCAUACUACUUGACUUUUGCAUCAGUGAUACUUGAAGUUAUUCAAAUGAA